rnacentral:rRNA from 1 species
GCGGAGGAAAAGAAACCAACAGGGAUUGCCUCAGUAACGGCGAGUGAAGCGGCAAGAGCUCAAAUUUGAAAGCUGGCCCCCUCNGGGUCCGCAUUGUAAUUUGCAGAGGAUGCUUCGGGAGUGGCCCCCAUCUAAGUGCCCUGGAACGGGCCGUCAUAGAGGGUGAGAAUCCCGUCUGGGAUGGGGUGCCCACGCCCGUGUGAAGCUCCUUCGACGAGUCGAGUUGUUUGGGAAUGCAGCUCUAAAUGGGUGGUAAAUUUCAUCUAAAGCUAAAUACUGGCCGGAGACCCGAUAGCNGCACAAGUAGAGUGAUCGAAAGAUGAAAAGCACUUUGAAAAGAGAGUUAAACAGCACGUGAAAUUGUUGAAAGGGAAGCGCUUGCAACCAGACUCGCCCACGGGGUUCAGCCGGCAUUCGUGCCGGUGUACUUCCCCGCGGGCGGGCCAGCGUCGGUUUGGGCGGCCGGUCAAAGGCCCUUGGAAUGUACCGCCCCCCGGGAGGCUUAUAGCCAAGGGUGCCAUGCUGCCAGCCCGGACCGAGGAACGCGCUUCGCCUCGGACGCUGGCAUAAUGGUCGUAAGCUA